rnacentral:rRNA from 1 species
UACGUAGGUGGCAAGCGUUGUCCGGAAUUAUUGGGCGUAAAGCGCGCGCAGGCGGUCCUUUUAAGUCUGAUGUGAAAGCCCACGGCUCAACCGUGGAGGGUCAUUGGAAACUGGGGGGACUUGAGUGCAGAAGAGGAAAGCGGAAUUCCACGUGUAGCGGUGAAAAUGCGUAGAGAUGUGGAGGAACACCAGUGGCGAAGGCGGCUUUCUGGUCUGUAACUGACGUGGAGGCGCGAAAAGCGUGGGGGAGCAAACAGG